AGCUUGGUUCAAUGGUAGAACAGCGGUCUCCAAAACCGUUGAUAAGGGUUCGAUUCCUUUAGCUC
rnacentral:tRNA from 1 species